rnacentral:rRNA from 1 species
GUNNCCGCCGCCCCCGCCCGCCUACGGGAGGCAGCAGUGAGGAAUAUUGCGCAAUGGGGGCAACCCUGACGCAGCGAUACCGCGUGGGAGAAGAAGGUCUUCGGAUUGUAAAUCCCUUUCAGUGGGGACGAUAGUGACGGUACCCACAGAAGAAGCUCCGGCUAACUCCGUGCCAGCAGCCGCGGUAAUACGGAGGGGGCGAGCGUUGUUCGGAAUUACUGGGCGUAAAGGGCGCGUAGGCGGUUUUGCAAGUCAGGAGUGAAAGCCCCAGGCUCAACCUGGGAAUGUCUCUUGAAACUGCAAGACUGGAGUCCGGCAGAGGGUGACGGAAUUCCCCGUGUAGAGGUGAAAUUCGUAGAUAUGGGGAGGAACACCAGAGGCGAAGGCGGUUGCCUGGACCGGUACUGACGCUGAGGCGCGAAAGCGUGGGGAGCGAACAGGAUUAGAUACCCUGGUAGUCCACGCUGUAAACGAUGAGUGCUAGUUGUUGCGGGUAUCGACCCCUGCGGCAACGCAGCUAACGCGUUAAGCACUCCGCCUGGGGAGUACGGCCGCAAGGCUAAAACUC